CUCGGCUGCAACGUCUGGCAACGAGCGAUUUCGACGCUGCUGCUGAGGCCGGGUUCAUCUGUGUUCAGCUCAUCAGUUUGGAGUUGGAGACGCAACCGCCAUGUAACCUGUACCGUCGGUCCUCCGUUUGCCGUUGUCAGUAUAUAAAAAACAAAAGGCCAUUCGCGAUGUGACACCAACAUCAUAAUUUAUCAAGUGGAACCUCACCCUUGUUCAGAUGUGGCGUUAAAAGUGUAAAAAUAAAAACUCUUGCUAACACUCAUUUUCUUCAUAUUUAUUUUUCUGCUUAGUUUUUUCGUGUUUGGUAAUCCAUGAAAAGGGAGGAAAAAGUGUUUAGAAAUAUGGAAUAUAGCCUAACAUUGGCCUAAUCAAGUGUUUCUGGCAGUUUUUAUAUGAAAAACUCCUAUUGCUGUUUGUUCUGUCAGACAGAAAUGUUGGAAGACCAAAAAUUCAGUUUUUAGAUACAUCAAUAAUUUAACAAAAGUGGAAUUAGUCAGAUACUUAAUGAAAAUCUAAAUUACUGUGUGAAAUCCUCACGUAUCUCGAACGACUGGAUGGUAAAAAAAAUGUUCUGAGACCAAAAAAAUAAGAUUUUACAACAUAAAUCAUUAAACAAAAUAAAAUUAAUUAGAUACCGAAAACACAAAUUACUGUUAGUCUCCCGCGUAUGAUGAACAGUGUCGCGAAUUUUCGCGCGGGAGAAGAGUGAAAAACUGUGAAAAAGAAAUACGUGAAUAUUCAUAGGUAUGGUUUCUGUUCACACUUCGUCUUCGUACGCGGCUCGCACCGCCGGCAGGGGAUUCUGACAUCCGGUAGAUAAGGAUGAUGUGCCUGUUCCUCGCCGAGCCAAAAUGACUCUUACCCUCCUUGAUUCGCCCAUCAACAGAUUUGAACGAGGGGCGGAGUUUGGAAUGCUGCGUCGUCCAUCGCACGCCUCCUCCGUCAGCUCCAGGGCGUCGACCUCCUCCUCCGCCUCUUCCUUCUCCUCCGCCUCCUCCUCUCGUCGUCGUCCUCCAAGUACUCGAGGCCCUCCUCCGC